rnacentral:rRNA from 1 species
GACGAAUGAUGGCGGAGGGAGGAACACAUGCAAGUCGAACGGAAAGGCCCUGCUUUUGUGGGGGGCUCGAGUGGCGAACGGGUGAGUAACACGUGAGUAACCUGCCAUUGACUUUGGGAUAACUUCAGGAAACUGGGGCUAAUACCGGAUAGGAGCUCCUGCGGCAUGGUGGGGGUUGGAAAGUUUCGGCGGUUGGGGAUGGACUCGCGGCUAAUCAGCCGGUUGGUGGGGGAGUGGCUUACCAAGAGUUGACGGGUAGCCGGCCUGAGAGGGUGACCGGCCACAUUGGGACUGAGAUACGGCCCAGACUCCUACUGGGGGCAGCAGUGGGGAAUAAUGCACAAUGGGCGGAAGCCUGAUGCAGCAGCGCCGCGUGCGGGAUGACGGCCUUCGGGUUGUAAACCGCUUUCGCCUGUGACGAAGCGUGAGUGACGGUAAUUGGUAAAGAAGCACCGGCUAACUACGUG